rnacentral:rRNA from 1 species
GCAAGAUUAAAACUCAAAGGAAUAGACGGGGACCCGCACAAGCGGUGGAGCAUGUGGUUUAAUUCGAAGAUACGCGAAGAACCUUACCUAGACUUGAAAUCCUUAGAAUCCUGCAGAGAUGCGGGAGUGCUAGUUUACUAGAACUAAGUGACAGGUGCUGCACGGCUGUCGUCAGCUCGUGUCGUGAGAUGUUGGGUUAAGUCCCGCAACGAGCGCAACCCUCGUGAUUAGUUGCUAACAGUUCGGCUGAGCACUCUAAUCAGACUGCCUUCGUAAGGAGGAGGAAGGUGAGGACGACGUCAAGUCAUCAUGGCCCUUAUGUCUAGGGCUACACACGUGCUACAAUGGUUGGGACAAAGAGCAGCAAUACCGCGAGGUGGAGCAAAUCUUAAAACCCAAUCUCAGUUCGGAUUGAAGUCUGCAACUCGACUUCAUGAAGCUGGAAUCGCUAGUAAUCGUAGAUCAGCAAUGCUACGGUGAAUACGUUCCCGGGUCUUGUACUCACCGCCCGUCACACCAUGGGAGUUGAUUUCGCUCGAAGCCGGAAUACUAAAUUAGUUACCGUCCACAGCGGAAUUAGCGACUGGGGUGAAGUCGUAACAAGGUA